UACGAAGGGGGCUAGCGUUGUUCGGAUUUACUGGGCGUAAAGCGCACGUAGGCGGAUCGUUAAGUCGGGGGUGAAAUCCUGGAGCUCAACUCCAGAACUGCCUUCGAUACUGGCGAUCUUGAGUCCGGGAGAGGUGAGUGGAACUGCGAGUGUAGAGGUGAAAUUCGUAGAUAUUCGGAAGAACACCAGUGGCGAAGGCGGCUCACUGGCCCGGGUACUGACGCUGAGAUACGAAAGCGUGGGGAGCAAACAGG
rnacentral:rRNA from 1 species